rnacentral:rRNA from 1 species
GACGAACGCUGGCGGCGUGCUAAACACAUGCAAGUCGAACGGAAAGGCCCUGCUUUUGUGGGGUGCUCGAGUGGCGAACGGGUGAGUAACACGUGAGUAACCUGCCCUUGACUUUGGGAUAACUUCAGGAAACUGGGGCUAAUACCGGAUAGGAGCUCCUGCUGCAUGGUGGGGGUUGGAAAGUUUCGGCGGUUGGGGAUGGACUCGCGGCUUAUCAGCUUGUUGGUGGGGUAGUGGCAUACCAAGGCUUUGACGGGUAGCCGGCCUGAGAGGGUGACCGGCCACAUUGGGACUGAGAUACGGCCCAGACUCCUACGGGAGGCAGCAGUGGGGAAUAUUGCACAAUGGGCGGAAGCCUGAUGCAGCAACGCCGCGUGCGGGAUGACGGCCUUCGGGUUGUAAACCGCUUUCGCCUGUGACGAAGCGUGAGUGACGGUAAUGGGUAAAGAAGCACCGGCUAACUACGUG